UACGAAGGGGGCUAGCGUUGCUCGGAAUCACUGGGCGUAAAGGGUGCGUAGGCGGGUCUUUAAGUCAGGGGUGAAGUCCUGGAGCUCAACUCCAGAACUGCCUUUGAUACUGAGGAUCUUGAGUUCGGGAGAGGUGAGUGGAACUGCGAGUGUAGAGGUGAAAUUCGUAGAUAUUCGCAAGAACACCAGUGGCGAAGGCGGCUCACUGGCCCGAUACUGACGCUGAGGUGCGAAAGCGUGGGGAGCAAACAGG
rnacentral:rRNA from 1 species